rnacentral:tRNA from 1 species
UAGAAAAGUAGGAAUUGAACCUACAACUAAGAG